UGGGCACUCUAAAGGGACUGCCGUGUUAAACCGGAGGAAGGUGGGGAUGACGUCAAGUCCUCAUGGCCUUUAUGACCAGGGCUACACACGUACUACAAUGGCCGAUACAAAGGGCAGCGACACUGCGAGGUGAAGCCAAUACCCGUAAAAUCGGUCUCAGUCCGGAUUGGAGUCUGCAACUCGACUCCAUGAAGUUGGAAUCGCUAGUAAUCGUGGAUCAGCAUGCCACGGUGAAUACGUUCCCGGGCCUU
rnacentral:rRNA from 1 species